rnacentral:rRNA from 1 species
AUGCCGACGGUGACCUGCAACGCCUGCAACGCGGCGUUCGAGGAGGAGGAGGAGCAGCGCCUCCACUACCGCUCCGAGUGGCACCGCUACAACCUCAAGCGCAAGGUGGCUGGAGUUCCUGGAGUUACCGAGGCUCUCUUUAUUGCUAGACAAACUGUUUUAGCAGAGGGGAGCAACUCUACCAUUGCUCCUCCGAUGUCUUACAGCUGUGCUCUUUGUGGAAAAGGGUACAGGAGUGCAAAAGCUCAUGCCCAACAUCUCACCACGCGAUCACAUCUCUUGAGAGCUUCCCAGGAGCCCAAUGCCUCCACUGCUGCAGUAGUCAAGCCACUUCCUGAGCGAGUUCCUCGUAGAGCCCCCUCUGCAAUGGAAGAAGAUGAAGAUGAGGAUGAGGAUGAGGAGGAAGAGUGGGUUGAAGUGGACCCAAGUGAGCUGGAGUCUACUUCAAACAUGCAAGUUGAUGAGGACUCUAAAUCAGAUGAUGAGAUGGCUGAUCUUGAAAUGUUGGAUCCCUCGGACUGCUUCAUGUGUGAUCUCAAGCAUGACAACAUAGAGGAUUGCAUGAUCCAUAUGCACAAAAAGCAUGGUUUCUUCAUACCUGACAGUGAAUACUUGAAAGAUCCCAAUGGCCUUCUUAUAUAUGUCGGACUGAAGGUGAAGCGUGACUUUAUGUGCCUCUACUGCAAUGACAGAUGCCAGCCUUUUCAAAGUCUUGAGGCUGUCAGGAAGCAUAUGGAUGCAAAAGGUCACUGCAAGUUACGUUAUGGAGAUGGUGGGGAGGAUGAAGAUGCUGACCUUGAGGAUUUCUAUGAUUACAGCAGCAGCUAUGUGGAUGUGGAGGGUAAGCAGCUGGUUACUGCGGGUGACAUGGACAACAGCAUUGAACUGGGAGGUGGUGGAUCCGAGCUUGUGAUCACAAGCAAGAGCGAGAAGGGAAGACGCGUGACGACUCUUGGUUCCCGAGAGUUCAUUCGCUACUACCGCCAGAAGCCACGGCCUUCGGUUGCAGCAGAUCGUGCCCUUGCGCUUUCCCUGGCUUCCAGCUACAAGAGCAUGGGUUUGGUGACGGUCCAGUCCAAGGAGCAGAUGGUGAGGCUGAAGGUGCUCCGAGCGAUGAACAAGAGCGGGGUGGAGACGAUGAGGACGAAGAUCGGGAUGAAGAGCAACGUGAUCCGGAACCUCCCCAAGAACGUCCCGUACUAG